GGAUUGGUGGCGUAGUGGUAACGCAUGCUGUGGUUAAACAUCACAUCCACAGUAAGUCCUAGGUUCAAGUCCUGGCUGAUCUG